UGUUACAAAGGAAUAGUGUGGAUGAAAAUAAGAAAAGAAUUCACCAGAGGUACAGAACUGCAAACCAAUUUGAAUGGUGUUCUCAUUUUCUACCACAAGCUUUCCCCCUGAGAAACCAAGUUCAAAAUCAUCAGCAAAACAUGAUUACCCAGCACCUAAUAGGAAUACAGAUGAGGAGGAGCAAAUUGGAUAUGAGAGGGAAGUGAACAGAGAAACACAAUGGAGGAGGUAUGUGUGUGUGACUGGUGUACAUGACCCAGAGGGAGUCCAUUAGAAAGAACAUUCAAAAGUUUACCAACUUCACUGAGGAUGAGGAUGAAAACACUUGCAGCUUUGUUCUCCUCUCUGAACAUGCAGAACACAGAGACACAGCAAGCCACGCCUAGGUGGAGAGCCAAACCUAAGCCAGGAUUCUUACUCCUUCUCGUCUAGUGACUGGUAUCGUCAGUUAAAGAGCAAACACUUCUGCCUGUGAACUGGCUCAGGCUGGUGUCAAGGGCAUAUGGAGAACAAAGAGCUGAUGAAGAAAAUGAGAUUUAGAGGAGAAGUGAUAUGCCCAUCAUCACAUGGACUCCAAAAUAUAAAAAUGGAAUUUGAAUUCAAACCUGUGACUCCAAAUCCAUUGCUCUUUCCUCUACAUCAAUAUUAUCUUUAAAUCAUGGGAAAAAAAUAAGGACUUACUAUAUUCCUAGGAUGGUUCCAGAGGUUGUAGAAAAUAUAAAAGAAAAAUAA